rnacentral:rRNA from 1 species
UGCGGCGUGCCUAAUACAUGCAAGUAGAACGCUGAAGAGAGGAGCUUGCUCUUCUUGGAUGAGUUGCGAACGGGUGAGUAACGCGUAGGUAACCUGCCUUGUAGCGGGGGAUAACUAUUGGAAACGAUAGCUAAUACCGCAUAACAAUGGAUGACACAUGUCAUUUAUUUGAAAGGGGCAAAUGCUCCACUACAAGAUGGACCUGCGUUGUAUUAGCUAGUAGGUGAGGUAACGGCUCACCUAGGCGACGAUACAUAGCCGACCUGAGAGGGUGAUCGGCCACACUGGGACUGAGACACGGCCCAGACUCCUACGGGAGGCAGCAGUAGGGAAUCUUCGGCAAUGGGGGCAACCCUGACCGAGCAACGCCGCGUGAGUGAAGAAGGUUUUCGGAUCGUAAAGCUCUGUUGUAAGUCAAGAACGAGUGUGAGAGUGGAAAGUUCACACUGUGACGGUAGCUUACCAGAAAGGGACGGCUAACUACGUGCCAGCAGCCGCGGUAAUACGUAGGUCCCGAGCGUUGUCCGGAUUUAUUGGGCGUAAAGCGAGCGCAGGCGGUUUGAUAAGUCUGAAGUUAAAGGCUGUGGCUCAACCAUAGUUCGCUUUGGAAACUGUCAAACUUGAGUGCAGAAGGGGAGAGUGGAAUUCCAUGUGUAGCGGUGAAAUGCGUAGAUAUAUGGAGGAACACCGGUGGCGAAAGCGGCUCUCUGGUCUGUAACUGACGCUGAGGCUCGAAAGCGUGGGGAGCGAACAGGAUUAGAUACCCUGGUAGUCCACGCCGUAAACGAUGAGUGCUAGGUGUUGGAUCCUUUCCGGGAUUCAGUGCCGCAGCUAACGCAUUAAGCACUCCGCCUGGGGAGUACGACCGCAAGGUUGAAACUCAAAGGAAUUGACGGGGGCCCGCACAAGCGGUGGAGCAUGUGGUUUAAUUCGAAGCAACGCGAAGAACCUUACCAGGUCUUGACAUCCCGAUGCUAUUUCUAGAGAUAGAAAGUUACUUCGGUACAUCGGUGACAGGUGGUGCAUGGUUGUCGUCAGCUCGUGUCGUGAGAUGUUGGGUUAAGUCCCGCAGCGAGCGCAACCCCUAUUGUUAGUUGCCAUCAUUCAGUUGGGCACUCUAGCGAGACUGCCGGUAAUAAACCGGAGGAAGGUGGGGAUGACGUCAAAUCAUCAUGCCCCUUAUGACCUGGGCUACACACGUGCUACAAUGGUUGGUACAACGAGUUGCGAGUCGGUGACGGCAAGCUAAUCUCUUAAAGCCAAUCUCAGUUCGGAUUGUAGGCUGCAACUCGCCUACAUGAAGUCGGAAUCGCUAGUAAUCGCGGAUCAGCACGCCGCGGUGAAUACGUUCCCGGGCCUUGUACACACCGCCCGUCACACCACGAGAGUUUGUAACACCCGAAGUCGGUGAGGUAACCUUUUGGAGCCAGCCGCCUAAGGUGGGAUAGAUGAUUGGGGUGAAG